GGCAUAAACUCGAAGUAGUGUAGUUUAGUAGGGUCAGGUGAUCCUCCCAAUCCACUCUAUUUCAAAUUUAGGCCC
rnacentral:pre_miRNA from 1 species